rnacentral:rRNA from 1 species
GACGAACGCUGGCGGCGUGCUUAACACAUGCAAGUCGAACGGUGAUGCUCCAGCUUGCUGGCGUGGAUCAGUGGCGAACGGGUGAGUAACACGUGAGCAACCUGCCCCAGACUCUGGAAUAAGCGCUGGAAACGGCGUCUAAUACUGGAUACGAAACUGGCCCGCAUGGGCAUGGUUUGGAAAGUUUUUCGGUUUGGGAUGGGCUCGCGGCCUAUCAGCUUGUUGGUGAGGUAAUGGCUCACCAAGGCGACGACGGGUAGCCGGCCUGAGAGGGCGACCGGCCACACUGGGACUGAGACACGGCCCAGACUCCUACGGGAGGCAGCAGUGGGGUAUAUUGCACAAUGGGCGAAAGCCUGAUGCAGCGACGCCGCGUGAGGGAUGACGGCCUUCGGGUUGUAAACCUCUUUCAGCAGGGAAGAAGCGAAAGUGACGGUACCUGCAGAAGAAGCACCGGCUAACUACGUG